CUGGCUCAGAUGAACGCUGGCGGCAUGCCUACACAUGCAAGUCGAGCGGCAGCGCGGGGGCAACCCUGGCGGCGAGCGGCGAACGGGUGAGUAAUACAUCGGAACGUGUCCUGCAGUGGGGGAUAACCAUCGAAAGGUAGGCUAAUACCGCAUGGGCUCGGGAGAGCAAAGCGGGGGACCGCAAGGCCUCGCGCUACAGGAGCGGCCGAUGUCCGAUUAGCUAGUAGGUGGGGUAAGAGCCCACCUAGGCGACGAUCGGUAGCUGGUCUGGAGAGGAUGAUCAGCCACACUGGGACUGAGACACGGCCCAGACUCCUACGGGAGGCAGCAGUGGGGAAUUUUGGACAAUGGGGGCAACCCUGAUCCAGCCAUGCCGCGUGAAGUGAAGAAGGCCUUCGGGUUGUAAAGCUCUUUCGGCGGGAACGAAAGGGGUCGUGCUAAUACCAUGGCCCGAUGACGGUACUCGCAGAAGAAGCACCGGCUAACUACGUGCCAGCCGCCGC
rnacentral:rRNA from 1 species